rnacentral:rRNA from 1 species
ACMCGAACAGAUGCGGGGGAAGUAUGAAAACCCUUAAAGGGUGAGUGUUCCCUUUAGGGCGGGGAGAAGGUCAUCCGCGGCCAUACCCCGGAGAGUCCCGGCUGUAAACGAUGCGGGCUAGGUGUCGGACGGGCUUAGUGCCCGUCCGGUGCCGCAGGGAAGCCGUUAAGCCCGCCGCCUGGGGAGUACGGCCGCAAGGCUGAAACUUAAAGGAAUUGGCGGGGGAGCACCACAAGGGGUGGAGCCUGCGGCUUAAUUGGAGUCAACGCCGGGAAACUUACCGGGGGCGACAGCAGGAUGACGGCCAGGUUAAAGGCCUUGCCCGACGCGCUGAGAGGAGGUGCACGGCCGUCGCCAGCUCGUGCCGUGAGGUGUCCGGUUAAGUCCGGCAACGAGCGAGACCCCCGCCCCUAGUUGCUACCCGGUCCUUCGGGGCCGGGGCACACUAGGGGGACUGCCGGCGUCUAAGCCGGAGGAAGGUGGGGGCCACGGCAGGUCAGCAUAGGGGCCUAUCCCGAGGGAGGGCCCCGCUGAAGCCCCGAAACCCCCGGGCUGCACGCGGGCUACAAUGGCCGGGACAGCGGGAUCCGACCCCGAAAGGGGGAGGCAAUCCCUUAAACCCGGCCUCAGUUGGGGUCGAGGGCUGUAACUCGCCCUA